UACGUAGGGGGCAAGCGUUGUCCGGAUUUAUUGGGCGUAAAGAGCGUGUAGGCGGUCAGGUAGGUCCGUUGUGAAAACUCGAGGCUCAACCUCGAGACGCCGAUGGAAACCAUCUGGCUAGAGUCCGGAAGAGGAGAGUGGAAUUCCUGGUGUAGCGGUGAAAUGCGCAGAUAUCAGGAAGAACACCCGUGGCUAAGGCGGCUCUCUAGUACGGUACUGACGCUGAGACGCGAAGGCGUGGGGAGCGAACGGG
rnacentral:rRNA from 1 species